rnacentral:rRNA from 1 species
UAACGAAUCUUCCGCAAUGCACGAAAGUGUGACGGAGCGACGCCGCGUGGAGGACGAAGUUCUUCGGAAUGUAAACUCCUGUCAGGGGAAAGAAAGUUCUGAUCUACCCCAGAGGAAGAGGCGGCUAACUCUGUGCCAGCAGCCGCGGUAAUACAGAGGCCUCGAGCGUUAGACGGAAUCACUGGGCUUAAAGCGUGUGUAGGCGGAAGGGUAAGUACCUUGUGAAAUCCCACGGCUUAACCGUGGAACGGCUUGGUAUACUGCUUUUCUUGAGCAAUCUAGGGGCGAGUGGAACAGAUGGUGGAGCGGUGAAAUGCGUAGAUAUCAUCUGGAACGCCAAUGGUGAAGACAACUCGCUGGGGAUUUGCUGACGCUGAGACACGAAAGCCAGGGGAGCGAACGGGAUUAGAUACCCAUGUAGUCCCUGAGCGGGCUGGCAAGGCGCAU